AACCUACGGGCGGCCGCCGUCGGGCCUCUUGCUCCCUGGGGGCCCCCCUGCCGCCGCAACGCCGCGUGGAGGAUGAAGGUUUUCGGAUUGUAAACUCCUUUUGUUAGAGAAGAUAAUGACGGUAUCUAACGAAUAAGCACCGGCUAACUCCGUGCCAGCAGCCGCGGUAAUACGGAGGGUGCAAGCGUUACUCGGAAUCACUGGGCGUAAAGAGCGCGUAGGCGGGAUAGCAAGUCAGAUGUGAAAUCCUAUGGCUUAACCAUAGAACUGCAUUUGAAACUGUUAUUCUAGAGUAUGGGAGAGGG
rnacentral:rRNA from 1 species